rnacentral:rRNA from 1 species
GACGAACGCUGGCGGCGUGCUUAACACAUGCAAGUCGAACGGACAGGCCCUGCUUUUGUGGGGUGCUCGAGUGGCGAACGGGUGAGUAACACGUGAGUAACCUGCCCUUGACUUUGGGAUAACUUCAGGAAACUGGGGCUAAUACCGGAUAGGAGCUCCUGCUGCAUGGUGGGGGUUGGAAAGUUUCGGCGGUUGGGGAUGGACUCGCGGCUUAUCAGCUUGUUGGUGGGGUAGUGGCUUACCAAGGCUUUGACGGGUAGCCGGCCUGAGAGGGUGACCGGGCACAUUGGGCCUGCGAUACGGCCCAGACUCCUACGGGAGGCAGCAGUGGGGAAUAUUGCACAGUGGGCGGAAGCCUGAUGCAGCAACGCCGCGUGCGGGAUGACGGCCUUCGGGUUGUAAACCGCUUUCGCCUGUGACGAAGCGUGAGUGACGGUAAUGGGUAAAGAAGCACCGGCUAACUACGUG